rnacentral:tRNA from 1 species
GGGGAUUUAGCUCAGUGGCAUAAGCAUAUGUCUGGCAAGCAUAAGUUUAUCCCCAGUACAAAAAAAUUAAAAAUUGGAAAGGAAGAGGUAAAUUUACUCUUUGUAGAUGAGGUGUUUGUAUACCUGGAAUCCCCA